UAGGGAAUCUUCCGCAAUGGACGCAAGUCUGACGGAGCAACGCCGCGUGAGUGAAGAAGGAUUUCGGUUCGUAGAACUCUGUUGUUAGAGAAGAACAGCGCAUAGAGUAACUGUUAUGCGUGUGACGGUAUCUAACCAGAAAGCCACGGCUAACUACGUGCCAGCAGCCGCGGUAAUACGUAGGUGGCAAGCGUUGUCCGGAUUUAUUGGGCGUAAAGCGAGCGCAGGCGGUCAAUUAAGUCUGAUGUGAAAGCCCCCGGCUCAACCGGGGAGGGUCAUUGGAAACUGGUUGACUUGAGUGCAGAAGAGGAGAGUGGAAUUCCAUGUGUAGCGGUGAAAUGCGUAGAUAUAUGGAAGAACACCAGUGGCGAAGGCGACUCUCUGGUCUGUAACUGACGCUGAGGCUCGAAAGCGUGGGUAGCAAACAGG
rnacentral:rRNA from 1 species